GGGGUGCCGCAGGCGCGAAAACUUCACACUGUGAGAAAGCACGAUGAGGGAAUCCCAAGUCCUGGCUCGUAAGAGUCAGCUGUUUCUCUGUCUAGAAAACAGAGAGAGUAAGGGCUGGGUAAGACGGGUCCCAGCCGCCNCGUUAAUACCUGCACCCCAAGUGGUGCCCNCUAUUAUUGGGCCUAAAACGUUCGUAGCCGUUCUAGUAAAUGCCUGGGUAAAUCAUCCGCCUUAACCGUAGGAAUUCCGGGUAGACUGCUGGACUUGGGAGUGGGAGAGGCAAGAGGUACUCCUGGGGUAGAGGUGAAAUUCUGUAAUCCUAGGAGGACCACCAGUGGCGAAGGCGUCUAGCUAGAACACGUCUGACGGUGAGGAACGAAGCCUUGGGGAGCAACCGGGAUUAGAUACCCCGGUAGUCCAAGCUGUAAACGAUGCUUGCUNGAGUGUUNGUACNGGCUNCGAGCCCGAUUAGUGUCGGAGGGAAGUUGU
rnacentral:rRNA from 1 species